CCGGCGAUGUCCGAAUGGGGAAACCCAGUGCAAUUCGUUGCACUAUCGUUAACUGAAUACAUAGGUUAACGAGGCGAACCGGGGGAACUGAAACAUCUAAGUACCCCGAGGAAAAGAAAUCAACCGAGAUUCCCCCAGUAGCGGCGAGCGAACGGGGAGCAGCCCAGAGUCUGAAUCAGCUUGUGUGUUAGUGGAACGGUCUGGAAAGUCCGACGGUACAGGGUGAUAGUCCCGUACACCAAAAUGCACAGGCUGUGAACUCGAAGAGUAGGGCGGGACACGUGGUAUCCUGUCUGAAUAUGGGGGGACCAUCCUCCAAGGCUAAAUACUCCUGACUGACCGAUAGUGAACCAGUACCGUGAGGGAAAGGCGAAAAGAACCCCGGCGAGGGGAGUGAAAAAGAACCUGAAACCGUGUACGUACAAGCAGUGGGAGCACCUUCGGGUGUGACUGCGUACCUUUUGUAUAAUGGGUCAGCGACUUAUAUUCUGUAGCAAGGUUAACCGUAUAGGGGAGCCGCAGGGAAACCGAGUCUUAACUGGGCGUUAAGUUGCAGGGUAUAGACCCGAAACCCGGUGAUCUAGCCAUGGGCAGGUUGAAGGUUGGGUAACACUAACUGGAGGACCGAACCGACUAAUGUUGAAAAAUUAGCGGAUGACUUGUGGCUGGGGGUGAAAGGCCAAUCAAACCGGGAGAUAGCUGGUUCUCCCCGAAAGCUAUUUAGGUAGCGCCUCGUGAAUUCAUCUUCGGGGGUAGAGCACUGUUUCGGCUAGGGGGUCAUCCCGACUUACCAACCCGAUGCAAACUACGAAUACCGAAGAAUGUUAUCACGGGAGACACACGGCGGGUGCUAACGUCCGUCGUGAAGAGGGAAACAACCCAGACCGCCAGCUAAGGUCCCAAAGUCAUGGUUAAGUGGGAAACGAUGUGGGAAGGCACAGACAGCCAGGAUGUUGGCUUAGAAGCAGCCAUCAUUUAAAGAAAGCGUAAUAGCUCACUGGUCGAGUCGGCCUGCGCGGAAGAUGUAACGGGGCUAAACCAUGCACCGAAGCUGCGGCAGCGACACUAUGUGUUGUUGGGUAGGGGAGCGUUCUGUAAGCCUGCGAAGGUGACCUGUGAGGGUUGCUGGAGGUAUCAGAAGUGCGAAUGCUGACAUAAGUAACGAUAAAGCGGGUGAAAAGCCCGCUCGCCGGAAGACCAAGGGUUCCUGUCCAACGUUAAUCGGGGCAGGGUGAGUCGACCCCUAAGGCGAGGCCGAAAGGCGUAGUCGAUGGGAAACAGGUUAAUAUUCCUGUACUUGGUGUUACUGCGAAGGGGGGACGGAGAAGGCUAUGUUAGCCGGGCGACGGUUGUCCCGGUUUAAGCAUGUAGGCUGGUUAUCCAGGCAAAUCCGGAUAAUCAAGGCUGAGGUGUGAUGACGAGGCACUACGGUGCUGAAGUAACAAAUGCCCUGCUUCCAGGAAAAGCCUCUAAGCAUCAGGUAACAUCAAAUCGUACCCCAAACCGACACAGGUGGUCAGGUAGAGAAUACCAAGGCGCUUGAGAGAACUCGGGUGAAGGAACUAGGCAAAAUGGUGCCGUAACUUCGGGAGAAGGCACGCUGGUGUGUAGGUGAAGUCCCUGCGGAUGGAGCUGAGACCAGUCGAAGAUACCAGCUGGCUGCAACUGUUUAUUAAAAACACAGCACUGUGCAAACACGAAAGUGGACGUAUACGGUGUGACGCCUGCCCGGUGCCGGAAGGUUAAUUGAUGGGGUUAUCCGUAAGGAGAAGCUCUUGAUCGAAGCCCCGGUAAACGGCGGCCGUAACUAUAACGGUCCUAAGGUAGCGAAAUUCCUUGUCGGGUAAGUUCCGACCUGCACGAAUGGCGUAAUGAUGGCCAGGCUGUCUCCACCCGAGACUCAGUGAAAUUGAACUCGCUGUGAAGAUGCAGUGUACCCGCGGCAAGACGGAAAGACCCCGUGAACCUUUACUAUAGCUUGACACUGAACAUUGAGCCUUGAUGUGUAGGAUAGGUGGGAGGCUUUGAAGCGUGGACGCCAGUCUGCGUGGAGCCAACCUUGAAAUACCACCCUUUAAUGUUUGAUGUUCUAACGUUGGCCCCUUACCGGGGUUGCGGACAGUGUCUGGUGGGUAGUUUGACUGGGGCGGUCUCCUCCCAAAGCGUAACGGAGGAGCACGAAGGUUAGCUAAUCCUGGUCGGACAUCAGGAGGUUAGUGCAAUGGCAUAAGCUAGCUUGACUGCGAGCGUGACGGCGCGAGCAGGUGCGAAAGCAGGUCAUAGUGAUCCGGUGGUUCUGAAUGGAAGGGCCAUCGCUCAACGGAUAAAAGGUACUCCGGGGAUAACAGGCUGAUACCGCCCAAGAGUUCAUAUCGACGGCGGUGUUUGGCACCUCGAUGUCGGCUCAUCACAUCCUGGGGCUGAAGUAGGUCCCAAGGGUAUGGCUGUUCGCCAUUUAAAGUGGUACGCGAGCUGGGUUUAGAACGUCGUGAGACAGUUCGGUCCCUAUCUGCCGUGGGCGCUGGAGAAUUGAGGGGGGCUGCUCCUAGUACGAGAGGACCGGAGUGGACGCAUCACUGGUGUUCGGGUUGUCAUGCCAAUGGCACUGCCCGGUAGCUAAAUGCGGAAGAGAUAAGUGCUGAAAGCAUCUAAGCACGAAACUUGCCCCGAGAUGAGUUCUCCCUGAGACUUUAAGUCUCCUGAAGGAACGUUAAAGACGAUGACGUUGAUAGGCCGGGUGUGUAAGCGCAGCGAUGCGUUGAGCUAACCGGUACUAAUGAACCGUGAGGCUUAACCUU
rnacentral:rRNA from 1 species